rnacentral:rRNA from 1 species
UACGAAGGGGGCUAGCGUUGCUCGGAAUCACUGGGCGUAAAGGGUGCGUAGGCGGGUCUUUAAGUCAGAGGUGAAAUCCCAAGGCUCAACCUUGGAACUGCCUUUGAUACUGGGGAUCUCGAGUCCGGGAGAGGUGAGUGGAACUGCGAGUGUAGAGGUGAAAUUCGUAGAUAUUCGCAAGAACACCAGUGGCGAAGGCGGCUCACUGGCCCGGUACUGACGCUGAGGAGCGAAAGCGUGGGGAGCAAACAGG